rnacentral:rRNA from 2 species
CCUGGCGGCCAUAGCGCGGUGGACCCACCUGAACCCAUGCCGAACUCAGAAGUGAAACGCCGUAGCGCCGAUGGUAGUGUGGGGUCUCCCCAUGCGAGAGUAGGACACUGCCAAGC